CGUGCAGACUAAACCUCUCUGUUGCAUCACAAUAGGCUAGCUGUGCGCACGUAACAGACUGCAAAGUUGGCUAAGUUUGAUCGAAUUUUAAACUAAACGAACAAGAUGAGAGAAUGCAUUUCACUUCAUAUUGGGCAAGCUGGCGUUCAGAUCGGUAACGCAUGUUGGGAGCUGUAUUGCUUAGAACAUGGGAUACAACCCAACGGUUUGGUCAAAAGUGGAGACCAAAGCGACGCGGUUGGAACUUUCUUCCAGACUACGAACGGUGGUCGUCAUAUACCAAGAGCAAUAUUCGUUGAUUUAGAACCAACUGUAAUCGACGAGAUUCGCACGGGUGAUUACAAGGAGUUAUUUCACCCGGAUCAAAUGAUCACUAACAAAGAAGAUGCGGCAAAUAACUACGCUCGUGGUCACUACACCGUCGGUAAAGAAGUUAUUGAAAAAGUUACUGAUCGUAUUCAAAAACUCUCUGAAGGAUGUGAAGGACUGCAGGGUUUCUUAAUUUUCCACUCGUUUGGUGGCGGUACAGGGUCGGGGUUUACAUCAUUGCUGAUGGAAAGGCUUUCGAUUGAUUACGGACGAAAAUCGAAACUGGAGUUUGCCGUUUACCCGGCCCCGAAGAUCUCCACUGCCGUUGUCGAGCCUUACAACUCGGUGUUGACAACACACACAACACUGGAGCAUACAGAUUGUGCGUUCAUGGUCGACAACGAGGCAAUCUAUGAUAUUUGCACCAACAAGCUUGAAAUUGGUCGCCCAAUAUACCAGCAUCUUAACCGAGUCAUUGCUCAGGUUGUUUCUUCAAUCACUGCAUCUCUAAGGUUCGAAGGAUCAUUGAACGUUGAUCUAACAGAAUUCCAAACCAACUUGGUGCCGUAUCCACGAAUCCACUUUCCGCUUGCCACCUAUGCGCCAAUCUUAUCCAGCGAAAAGGCCAAACAUGAACAGAUGACGGUUGGUGAUAUCACCAACGCUUGCUUUGAACCAGCCAACACCUUGGUGAAAUGCAACCCUCGUGAUGGGAAGUACAUGGCGUGUUGUAUGUUGUACAGAGGUGACGUGGUGCCGAAGGACGUAACAGCAGCAAUAGCAGCCGUUAAACAAAAACGAUCUAUCCAGGUAAACAAAUUCACAACGUUUGAUGGACCAGAGAUACUUUUAACAUAUAGUUGUUUGGGGCAAGUUUGUCGAUUGGUGUCCCACUGGUUUCAAAGUUGGGAUCAACCAUCAACCGCCUACACAAGUUCCGGGAGCAGACAUGGCGAAACUAGGCAGAGCUCUCUGCAUGCUAAGUAACACAACUGCAAUAUCAGAGGCAUGGGCAAGGCUUAACCACAAGUUUGACUUGAUGUAUUCAAAGAGAGCAUUCGUCCACUGGUACGUUGGAGAGGGAAUGGAAGAAGGGGAAUUCUCGGAGGCGAGAGAAGACCUCGCUGCUCUUGAGAAAGAUUAUGAAGAAGUUGGAAUGGACUCGACCGAAGACGGACAAGAAGACGAAGCCGAAGAAUACUAGAAUAUUCACCCUAUGUGACGUAAAACUCACCCUACACAAUUGCUAUUAUUUGCAAAAAACUAGAAUAUUUACACAUGUAUGACAUAACAAACCCAUUGUAUGACGUAAGUCACCUAACACACUUGAUACAGUUAGUAUUACUUGCCGAAGAUAACCAUUGUAAACUUAUAUAAUAUUUGCAAGAAAAGGAGUUUAUUCUGGAAAACUAUAACGUUGAAUUUUAUUGUAAAGUUUUAAACCAGAGCGCCAUAAAAAGCGAAGUGUCUUUAAUAUAUUUAUAGCUUUGCUUUUCAGCCCUUUUGCGCCACCCAAAUUCCAGCAAAAAAUGUGGUUUUUCCCAACUUUUUUGUGAGUACGUGAAUUUACUUUUACAAUACAGUAAAAGUCAAAGGCUUUGUAAACUACAAUUUAACGACUCGACAAGAUCAAAUAAUGGUCCAUUUUAAGUAACGGCCAAAAGGUUUAAAAGCAAUGCUAUACAAGUAUAUUGACAAGAUAUUUGAUAUUAUGUACAUGCGACAACCUUAACACAAAAUAUUUCUAAAAAAAACAAUUUGAAAACCUAUUUUUGUGUACAUUAAAGUCAAAUAGCUGGUCCAAUGUAUUUAAGAGAUAUAAUAUAUUUCAUUUUGCCACAAAUAUGUAGCCAAGUUGCACAUGAAUAUAAAAUAAUAAAUACCAUAAAA